AUGCCUCGGCAGCAUAUACACUAAAACUGGGACAAUACAGAGAAGAUUAGCAUGAUCCUUACACAGGGAAUCGUUUUUAUAUAUUAGUUUAAAAUAUAUAU
ensembl:snRNA U6 U6 spliceosomal RNA